UACGAAGGGGGCUAGCGUUGCUCGGAAUCACUGGGCGUAAAGGGUGCGUAGGCGGGUCUUUAAGUCAGGGGUGAAAUCCUGGAGCUCAACUCCAGAACUGCCUUUGAUACUGAGGAUCUUGAGUUCGGGAGAGGUGAGUGGAACUGCGAGUGUAGAGGUGAAAUUCGUAGAUAUUCGCAAGAACACCAGUGGCGAAGGCGGCUCACUGGCCCGGUACUGACGCUGAUGUGCGAAAGCGUGGGGAGCAAACAGG
rnacentral:rRNA from 1 species